UUUCCCCUGCCUUGUUCGUGAUUGCCAGAAUUUCCGAGCCGUUUAUUCGUCUAAGGGUUCCUCCGCUGUCUUGGGAAAGGAAUAUCCCCUGCGGGCGACAUUCCUCGAAAGAGGCACGAGCAUUGCCCACCUAACGACAGUUAGGUUCGGAUGAACUGGAACACGGCAGUGGCGGGGGAUUU
rnacentral:other from 1 species